CCGUGGCGGCGUGCCAUACAUAGCAAGUCGAGCGAAGCGAAACUAAACAAGAGUUUACUUUACGGUAAGUUAGACGUUAGGAAAAGGACGAAGACGGCCGGGAUGGGUGAGUAACGAACGUGGGGAACCGUGCCCACUAGUCUGGGAUACCACUUGAACAGGUGCUAAUACCGGAUAAGAAAGCAGAUCGCAUGAUCAGCUUUUAAAAGGCGGCGUAAGCUGUCGCUAUGGGAUGGCCCCGCCGGUGCAUUAGCUAGUUGGUAAGGUAAAGGCUUACCAAGGCGAUGAUGCAUAGCCGAGUUGAGAGACUGAUCGGCCACAUUGGGACUGAGACACGGCCCAAACUCCUACGGGAGGCAGCAGUAGGGAAUCUUCCACAAUGGACGCAAGUCUGAUGGAGCAACGCCGCGUGAGUGAAGAAGGUUUUCGGAUCGUAAAGCUCUGUUGUUGGUGAAGAAGGAUAGAGGUAGUAACUGGCCUUUUAUUUGACGGUAAUCAACCAGAAAGUCACGGCUAACUACGUG
rnacentral:rRNA from 1 species